rnacentral:rRNA from 1 species
AUGCAAGUCGAACGAAGUAGCAAUACUUAGUGGCAGACGGGUGAGUAACAUGUGGGUAUCUUCCCUUUGGUGAGGAAUAACACGAGGAAACUUGUGCUAAUACCUCAUAAGUCUUUACGGAGAAAGCUUUAUGCGCCAUUGGAUGAGCCCGCACUUGAUUAGUUUGUAGGUGGGGUAAUGGCCUACCAAGACUUUGAUCAAUAGCUGAUUUGAGAGGAUGAUCAGCCACAUUGGGACUGAGACACGGCCCAAACUCCUACGGGAGGCAGCAGUAGGGAAUCUUGCACAAUGGAGGAAACUAUGAUGCAGCGAUGCCGCGUGAGUGAAGAAGGCCCUUGGGUUGUAAAGCUCUUUCGUCGGGGAAGAAAAUGACUGUACCCGAAUAAGAAGGUCCGGCUAACUUCGUGCCAGCAGCCGCGGUAAUACGAAGGGACCUAGCGUAGUUCGGAAUUACUGGGCUUAAAGAGUUCGUAGGUGGUUAAAAAAGUUGGUGGUGAAAGCCCAGAGCUUAACUCUGGAACUGCCAUCAAAACUUUUUAGCUAGAGUAUGAUAGAGGAGAGCAGAAUUUCUAGUGUAGAGGUGAAAUUCGUAGAUAUUAGAAAGAAUACCAAUUGCGAAGGCAGCUUUCUGGAUCAUUACUGACACUGAGGAACGAAAGCAUGGGUAGCGAAGAGGAUUAGAUACCCUCGUAGUCCAUGCCGUAAACGAUGUGUGUUAGAUGUUGGAAAUUUAUUUUCAGUAUCGCAGCGAAAGCGAUAAACACACCGCCUGGGGAGUACGACCGCAAGGUUAAAACUCAAAUGAAUUGACGGGGACCCGCACAAGUAGUGGAGCAUGUGGUUUAAUUCGAAGAUACGCGCAGAACCUUACCAACACUUGACAUGUUCGUCGCGACUCUAAGA